CCUACGGGAGGCAGCAGUAGGGAAUAUUGCUCAAUGGGGGAAACCCUGAAGCAGCAACGCCGCGUGGAGGAUGAAGGUUUUCGGAUUGUAAACUCCUUUUGUUAGAGAAGAUAAUGACGGUAUCUAACGAAUAAGCACCGGCUAAAUCCGUGCCAGCAGCCGCGGUAAUACGGAGGGUGCAAGCGUUACUCGGAAUCACUGGGCGUAAAGAGCGCGUAGGCGGGAUAGCAAGUCAGAUGUGAAAUCCUAUGGCUUAACCAUAGAACUGCAUUUGAAACUGUUAUUCUAGAGUAUGGGAGAGGUAGGUGGAAUGCUUGGUGUAGGGGUGAAAUGCGUAGAGAUCAAGAGGAAUACUCAUUGCGAAGGCGACCUGCUAGAACAUAACUGACGCUGAUGCGCGAAAGCGUGGGGAGCAAACAGGAUUAGAUACCCUAGUAGUC
rnacentral:rRNA from 1 species